rnacentral:rRNA from 1 species
UGAGUAAAGCGGCGUACGGGUGAGUAACACGUGGGUCAUGUACCCUUUGGUGGGGAAUAACGUUGGGAAACCGACGCUAAUACCGCAUAAUCCCGAGAGGGAAAAGCCGCAAGGCGCCGAAGGAACAGCCCGCGGCCGAUUAGCUAGUUGGUGAGGUAAUGGCUCACCAAGGCUUCGAUCGGUAGCCGGCCUGAGAGGGCACACGGCCACACUGGCACUGAAACACGGGCCAGACUCCUACGGGAGGCAGCAGUGGGGAAUCUUGCACAAUGGACGAAAGUCUGAUGCAGCGACGCCUCGUGAGUGAUGAAGGUCUUCGGAUCGUAAAGCUCUUUCGACUGGGAAGAUAAUGACGGUACCAGGAGAAGAAGCUGCGGCUAACUACGUGCCAGCAGCCGCGGUAAUACGUAGGCAGCAAGCGUUGUUCGGAAUUACUGGGCGUAAAGAGUGUGUAGGCGGUGUCGUAAGUUUGGCGUGAAAUCUCCCGGCUCAACUGGGAGGGUGCGCCGAAGACUGCGAUGCUUGAGGAUCGGAGAGGAAAGUGGAAUUUCUGGUGUAGCGGUGAAAUGCGUAGAUAUCAGAAGGAACACCUGUGGUGUAGACGGCUUUCUGGACGAUUCCUGACGCUGAGACACGAAAGCGUGGGUAGCAAACAGGAUUAGAUACCCUGGUAGUCCACGCCCUAAACGAUGCAUACUUGGUGUGAGCCAUUCACUUGGUUCGUGCCGGAGCUAACGCGU